ensembl:misc_RNA 7SK 7SK RNA
GGCUGUGAAGGCAAUCCAGCAGGGACAUCUGUCAUGUCAUUAACUGCCAGAGUUGAUUUGACGGAUCUGGCAGGGUGGGAGGGUGUCCCCUUCCUUCAAAGAGGUCAAGUUUCUCCCACAUAGGACAUCCACUUCCUCUGUCAAGAGUACACAAGUCAAUGGGCUCUCUUGCUAGACCCUCCAAACAAGUUCUCAAAAACAAUGGCAUAAAUCAAACUUUCCCUUGAGAGAAGGCACCGUGAAAAGAACCCACAUAAUAAGUGAACAUGACAGCUGACCUGGUGAUGUUU